rnacentral:rRNA from 1 species
UACGGAGGGUGCAAGCGUUAUCCGGAUUCACUGGGUUUAAAGGGCGCGUAGGCGGCUGUACAAGUCAAAGGUGAAAUCCCUCGGCUCAACUGAGGAACUGCCUUUGAAACUGUACGGCUUGAGGCCGGGAGGGGGUAGCGGAAUUCCCAGUGUAGCGGUGAAAUGCGUAGAUACUGGGAGGAACACCAGUGGCGAAGGCGGCUACCUGGACCGGUUCUGACGCUGAGGCGCGAAAGCGUGGGUAGCAAACAGG